AACAUAAAGAAGCUUGCUUCUUUGAUGACGAGUGGCGGACGGGUGAGUAAUGCUUGGGAAUCUAGCUUAUGGAGGGGGAUAACUACGGGAAACUGUAGCUAAUACCGCGUAGAAUCGGGAGAUGAAAGUGUGGGACCUUCGGGCCACAUGCCAUAGGAUGAGCCCAAGUGGGAUUAGGUAGUUGGUGAGGUAAAGGCUCAUCAAGCCGACGAUCUCUAGCUGGUCUGAGCGGAUGACCAGCCACACUGGGACUGAGACACGGCCCAGACUCCUACGGGAGGCAGCAGUGGGGAAUAUUGCGCAAUGGGGGCAACCCUGACGCAGCCAUGCCGCGUGAAUGAAGAAGGCCUUCGGGUUGUAAAGUUCUUUCGGUAGCGAGGAAGGCAUUUAGUUUAAUAGACUAGGUGAUUGACGUUAACUACAGAAGAAGCACCGGCUAACUCCGUGCCAGCAGCCGCGGUAAUACGGAGGGUGCGAGCGUUAAUCGGAAUAACUGGGCGUAAAGGGCACGCAGGCGGUGACUUAAGUGAGGUGUGAAAGCCCCGGGCUUAACCUGGGAAUUGCAUUUCAUACUGGGUCGCUAGAGUACUUUAGGGAGGGGUAGAAUUCCACGUGUAGCGGUGAAAUGCGUAGAGAUGUGGAGGAAUACCGAAGGCGAAGGCAGCCCCUUGGGAAUGUACUGACGCUCAUGUGCGAAAGCGUGGGGAGCAAACAGGAUUAG
rnacentral:rRNA from 1 species